UCUUCCGCAAUGGACGAAAGCCUGACGGAGCAACGCCGCGCGAGUGAUGAAGGUUUUCGGAUCGUAAAACCCUCUUGUCAGGGAAGAACAAGUACCGUUCGAAUAGGGCGCUACCCUGACGGUACCUACCCAGAAAGCCACGGCUAACUACGUGCCCGCAGCCGCGGUAAUACGUAGGUGGCAAGCGUUGUCCGGAAUUAUUGGGCGUAAAGCGCGCGCAGGCGGUUUCUUAAGUCUGAUGUGAAAGCCCCCGGCUCAACCGGGGAGGGUCAUUGGAAACUGGGGAACUUGAGUGCAGAAGAGGAGAGUGGAAUUCCACGUGUAGCGGUGAAAUGCGUAGAGAUGUGGAGGAACACCAGUGGCGAAGGCGACUCUCUGGUCUGUAACUGACGCUGAGGCGCGAAAGCGUGGGGAGCGAACAG
rnacentral:rRNA from 1 species